rnacentral:rRNA from 1 species
CCUACGGGUGGCAGCAGUAGGGCAUAUUGCUCAAUGGGGGAAACCCUGAUGCAGCAACGCCGCGUGAGGGAUGAAGUUUUUCGUUUUGUAAAGUCCUUUUGUUAGGGAAGAUAAUGACGGUAUCUAACUAAUAAGCCCCGGCUAACUCCGUGCCAGCAGCCGCGGUAAUACGUGGGGUGCAAGCGUUAUCCGGAAUCACUGGGCGUAAAGAGUUCGUAGGCGGCACGUAAAGUCUGGUGUUAAAGGCAGGGGCUCAACUUCUGUACUGCACUGGAAACUUGCGAGCUAGAAUGCGGUAGAGGUAAAGGGAAUUCCUGGUGUAGCGGUGAAAUGCUUAGAUAUUAGGAGGAACACCAGUGGCGUAAGCGCUUUACUGGACUGUAAUUGACGCUGAGGAUCGAAAGCCUGGGUAGCAAAUGGGAUUAGAUACCCGAGUAGUC